GCGGGUGGUGUUUAGGUUGUUUUGUUCAUAUAGCAACCGUUGUCAUUGUGUAUUUUAUUUCCACAAUUUUCAUUUCGCUUUUGAUUUUAGAUUCCGAAACAGGAAAGAACAAGCAGAUAUGUAUUACCGCUUCGGAACCUUCGGCAGGACUCAGGAGGAGCAAUUCCACUCUGCAGAUUGCGAUCAAAUUUGGGUGUCACUUCAGGAUGUGAUAAAUAUCGGCCAAGCUGAACAAUUUAAGCCUAUCGUCCCGGAUAUGUGUCUGGAGCACCUUUGGACAGAAAAUGUAGCUUUUCAAAGGGAUUUCAUGAAAAAACGUCCACUGGGUUUCGACAAGUAGACGUGAUAAAUGACUACCUACUGCUACGAUCGAAGAAAAUCACGACGAUGAGAAUCUAGGGAUCCCUUUCCGAUGUACGAACUAUCCCGCUAAGGACGGUUUCAGUUCAUAUUGCUGAGAAGGAGGAGGAGGAUACAAUCACCGGAAGCGAUCGCAGCGAGCAUACCACUCGAUAUUUCCCACCGUAUCAUCCGUAAUUUAUAUCCGCGAUGUGUUGGAAAUCGAGCCGCCAUCCUUCGUGCCGCGCUAUGUCGAUAGUGGCAAAUUGUGCUUGUCCGAAAUCUGAAACUAUCUGAAACAAAACGGAACCGAAAUCUCCACCACAUGCCUGUUUCAACAAGGAUAAUUGGAAAAUUUUAGAGUGAGUAGAUAUCGGAAGACUGGUCAAGCUAGGCCAAGACCGGUUGCACAGUUCCAGAAAACUCUUAGAUAGGCGAUAGGAUUUCGGCAAUAAUAGAAAAUAAUAAAAUAAAAUUUCAAUUUAU